GAUGAAGAACGUAGCGAAAUGCGAUAAGUAAUGUGAAUUGCAGAAUUCAGUGAAUCAUCGAAUCUUUGAACGCACAUUGCGCCCGCCAGUAUUCUGGCGGGCAUGCCUGUCCGAGCGUCAUUUCAACCAUCAAGCCCCCGGGCUUGUGUUGGGGACCUGCGGCUGCCCGCAGGCCCUGAAAACCAGUGGCGGGCUCGCUGUCACACCGAGCGUAGUAGCAAUCACCUCGCUCAGGGCGUGCUGCGGGUUCCGGCCGUUAAAAAACCCUUUUAACCCAAGGUUGACCUCGGAUCAGGUAGGAAUACCCGCUGAACUUAAGCAUAUCAAUAAGCGGAGGA
rnacentral:misc_RNA from 1 species